AAAAAUGAAUAGAAAAGCAAAGGAAGAAUCUUUGAUAAGUACAGAUUCUUGGGGAUCCACAUCCAAUGUGAGAAUUUGCUCAUCAGCAGUCAUGACAGUGAUCUUCAUCUUCAAUUUAAUUCAACCGUUUCUCUCUCUCUUUCUCACUCUCUAGAUUUGGUGAGAACGAUUUUGUUGUUGUUGGGUACGAGGGAGAGAGAGGUUUGGAUGGGAGAUUAGGUACAGAAAACAAGACUGUUGGAAGACUCCUAUGCUGCCUUUUAAGGUCUGUGACUUGCUGAGGAGGUUUGGUUUCACUGGUGACUUCUCAACUAAGAAAAUC
rnacentral:lncRNA from 1 species